AGAGUUCGAUCCUGGCUCAGGAUGAACGCUGGCGGCGCGCCUAACACAUGCAAGUCGAACGGUUAAAGCCCCUUCGGGGGUGCAUAGAGUGGCGAACGGCUGAGUAACACGUGGGCAACCUGCCCCCCGCACCGGGACAGCCUCGGGAAACCGUGGUUAAUACCGGAUACUCCGCCGCCCCCGCAUGGGGGCGGCGGGAAAGCCCAGGCGGAGGGGGAUGGGCCCGCGGCCUGUUAGCUCGUUGGCGGGGUAACGGCCCACCAAGGCGAUGAUGGGUAGCCGGGUUGAGAGACCGACCGGCCAGAUUGGGACUGAGACACGGCCCAGACUCCUACGGGAGGCAGCAGUGGGGAAUCUUGCACAAUGGGCGAAAGCCUGAUGCAGCGACGCCGCGUGCGGGACGAAGGCCUUCGGGUCGUAAACCGCUUUCAGCAGGGACGAGGCCGAAAGGUGACGGUACCUGCAGAAGAAGCCCCGGCUAACUACGUGCCAGCAGCCGCGGUAAUACGUAGGGGGCGAGCGUUAUCCGGAUUCAUUGGGCGUAAAGCGCGCGCAGGCGGCCUGCUCGGUCGGGAGUCAAAUCCGGGGGCUCAACCCCCGCCCGCUCCCGAUACCGGCGGGCUUGAGUCUGGUAGGGGAAGGCGGAAUUCCCAGUGUAGCGGUGGAAUGCGCAGAUAUUGGGAAGAACACCGGUGGCGAAGGCGGCCUUCUGGGCCACGACUGACGCUGAGGCGCGAAAGCUAGGGGAGCGAACAGGAUUAGAUACCCUGGUAGUCCUAGCCGUAAACGAUGGACACUAGGUGUGGGGGGAGGAUCCCUCCGUGCCGCAGCCAACGCAUUAAGUGUCCCGCCUGGGGAGUACGGCCGCAAGGCUAAAACUCAAAGGAAUUGACGGGGGCCC
rnacentral:rRNA from 1 species